ACUACACUUAUUCUGCAGAUAGGACAGUACAUGGCCUUGAUUGGAGGAUUCUUGGCUUUAACUAGACAAACGUCUCUCUCUCUCUCUCACACACACACACACACACACACACACAGUUGUAAGCUGACAUUUUUGUGACCUGACCAGACUUAAUGGUCUGCUCUUUCUCUUUGCAAUUUGAGGACAAUUACAGCCCUAAAUUCCCAAUACAUUUUGAUUGCCUGAGAUUUGGGAAAGAGCUACUGUUUGUAGAGUAUUAUGUAAGAAGAACAGAGCAAUAGCGUUCUACCCUUUGGCUAUAACUCGUAGAAUUCCUCUCCCUGUCUCACCCCCUGCAUGGCCAUGCCAGAUGGAGAUUCUAAACAACUUGUUGCUUACCGUCUAAGAAAGUAACUUUUCCAAGACGUAGCCUGGGCAAAUCCUCUUCAUAGGGUUCUGUGAGAGCAAAAUGGGAACAACAGGUGAGGAUGGGAGACCAAACAGUAAACUCACGCACAGCAGCAAAAGUAACAUCAUCAUCAUCAUCAUCAUCAUCAUCAUCAUCAUCAUCAUCAUCAUCAUCAUCAUCAUCAUCAUCAUCAUCAUCAUCAUCAUCAUCAUCAGGCCUUCUGCAAGUCCUGACUCAAAGAUGACAAAUACAAACGAGAAACAGAGAGAAAACACCAGGUGCUUGACUUUUUGGUUUGGGACACUGCCCUGGGAAAGCUAGAAAGUUCUGACUGAAGGCUCUCUGUGGCACAAUAGGGCUGAGUCACUCCAUUUGUAAGCCUGCCUUGGCAGACAAAGCCUUUAACUUUUGGCCUCUUUAGGAAGCAAAUUCCUGCUUCUGGGGUGGAGUUUCCUGUAGGUGGGGAAACAAGGCCCUUGUGAAAUCAGAGGAGACCUGGAGUAUGACUUGCUGGAGGCAAUGGGUCCUGACACGUAGGUGAAAGCCUGCCAGUUUGUACUUGGUCAAUGCUGAGAAGAAAAAACUGGCUGGAAGCAGCUUUGAGGAACAUGUUGAAACUACAGUAUGUACUGUGCAAUAUUUAAUUAAUUAAUUAAUUUUUCUGUACUUAUUUUUUAUGCAUGGAUAUUCAAACUUACAUCCCACUGUGUUCCAUGCAACUUAUUUCUACAAGUAAAUGAACACGGGAUUGCCAGUUAGUGGGUUCUGUAAAAGAAUUAUAAGAGGAGACAUGCCAUGUGGGUGGCUGAAUGCAAUAAAACUAAAACAUAGGAUUCA
rnacentral:lncRNA from 1 species